rnacentral:rRNA from 1 species
AUUGAACGCUGGCGGCAGGCCUAACACAUGCAAGUCGAGCGGAUGAAGGGAGCUUGCUCCGGCAUUCAGCGGCGGACGGGUGAGUAAUGUAUAGGAAUCUGCCUGGUAGCGGGGGAUAACGUCCGGAAACGGGCGCUAAUACCGCAUACGUCCUGAGGGGGAAAGUGGGGGAUCUUCGGACCUCGCGCUAUCAGAGGAGCCUAGGUCGGAUUAGCUAGUUGGUGGGGUAAAGGCCUACCAAGGCGACGAUCCGUAGCUGGUCUGAGAGGAUGAUCAGUCACACUGGAACUGAGACACGGUCCAGACUCCUACGGGAGGCAGCAGUGGGGAAUAUUGGACAAUGGGCGAAAGCCUGAUCCAGCCAUGCCGCGUGUGUGAAGAAGGUCUUCGGAUUGUAAAGCACUUUAAGUUGGGAGGAAGGGCAGUAAGCUAAUACCUUGCUGUUUUGACGGUACCUGCAGAAUAAGCACCGGCUAACUACGUG